UAUAUAUAUAUGUAUAUAUUAAUAUUAUCUUGGUUGAAAAACUUCGAUAAUGCAAAUAUGUUAAUAGUUACCAGGGUAUCAAAAAUCUCACAGAAACUGGGAUAUUAUACCUGGUUAAGGGGUAGAAAUUCCAUAUUAAAGUUAGUUAGUUAGUUAGAUAGAUAGAGAAAGUAACAACGAGUGAAUGAGAAUAACGACGGAAGGGUUAAAAAGAGCGUAAAAAUUAUUGAAAGUGGGUAGAAAUAAAAACUACGUAGUAUAGUAAUACUACGCUAAGGUAUCUGUAGAAUGUUGAAUGUGAUUUCGGAAUAUAACGAGGAAAAAUUCAGAUCUUGGGAAUUUUCCGAAAGUCCUCUCCCCACCUCAAGAUUUUCCCCACAAAUUAUUUUAUAAUCGUAAUGUAUGCCGUUUGAAAAGUAUUUAAACAAAAUUUCAACCCCCCCCCAAAAAAAAAACACAUUUUCCUAACAGUUACAAAGGAAAAACUCGGGUCUUGUGAAUUUUCCGAAGUCCUCUCCUCACCCCUUUGGAAAAGAUUUUACUCACAAACUUCUUUAUAAUCGUAAUGUAUGCUAACCAAAUUAAAUAUCACAAGGGGGCAUCAGGAUUUUAGAAACGAUUCAGUGGGGCAUGGCAAAAAAUCGGUUGGGAAUCACUGCAGUAAAGGAUGUCUCCGUGGUUACUUAACCUGCUAAAAGUUGAAAAUAAAUCUCCUUGAAAUUAAAAUGUGAAUUAUAGUAAUGAGGGAUAUUAUUUUAUACAAAACCACAUUAAAAUCCAAAUCCCAAACCGAACAAAACACAAACAUGAACGAAGAAAGAAAAAGGAAAGGAAAAAGAAGUGGAAGAAAGAAAAAGAAAGAAAAUAAACAACAAUUUGAUAUCAAGUAUCUCAAAUGGUCGCACACCACAAGGUUUAACGGAGCCUACUGAAGCAAGGCAGCACACUCGUUAUAUUACCACGGGCGAUGGCAAGGCUAAGGCUAAGGCGUUAGAACAGCCAUGCACCCUCACGUUCUUCACCUGAGCCGUCAACAAUGACAAAAACUUCACUGUUCGUGAUUCAGCCCCUCCAAACAUCUCAAACGCCACAGGCUGGAAAAUGUGGUUCACUGCCAAGUCCCAAUACUUAAGAAAAUUAUUCCGUUCGGCUACAGAAGCAGUGACCCUUCCAUUUAUCGCGGCGUCCAGAAUGUGAGGAGCAAAGGAAUAACAGACUGUGACAUCCCAGAUGAAGCACCUACCUCUUCUCUUGCCCAGGGAUAAAAGGUGACAUGAAAUGAUGAAGAGAAUGAAUAUAUAUAUAUGUGAAAUAUGUUUAAUAACGAAAACUUUUCUUUACAUAGUGUCAAAAACAAUACAAAAACUUUCCAAGAAUAAAGACUGACAGAUUUGAAAAUGUAAUUUGGCAACAGAUAAAAAAUGAUUUAUUUAAAUAAAAAAUGAUUAUUUAAAUAAAAAAUGAUUUAUUUAAAUAAAUCAUUUAAAAAAUGAUGUAUUUAUUUAUAUAUUCAAAAACACAAAAGUCCACUAUUUCUGAUAUAGGCAAGUACUCGCUAGUGUAUGGCGCAGUAACAUCCGGAAAUGAAAAAAAUAUUGUUUUGUAGAAAGAAAAAAAAUAUUAUACUUUAUCUAAAAUUAAAAAAAAAAUAAGUAAUAAAAAUCUUAAUUCAAGUAUUCAUAAUUCUAAAGCAUUUUAUUUGUUAUAUUUUUGAUGCCAGUAAAUUACAAUCCCGGAUUUGGGUUGUAUUAUGGGCUACAAUUUCGCCAUGAUGUAAAGGAAUAAUAAUCCAUUCGACGUAAUAACAACGGUUAUGGGAUUGAGAUUAACAUGAGAACCAGAGAAGGAGACGAGGAAAAAAUGGUGAAAAUGUGAUAUUAGCUUUUCAUAAUUUGUUAAUAUUAUUGCCGAAUUUGAAGUUAUGUCACGGAAACGUGUCUAUGUGUUAGUCGGAACACCGAAUUGUAAACAUGGCUGUGAUCCAAGUAAUUGGCUUCAAAUGAACUGUUGCUUGCAACCGGUUUAUUCUUAAUACCCCAAAUCUGUUCUUACGACAGUUUUUUUUUCUUUUUAAACAGUAAUGAAUAUAUGUUAUUCACCGCACAUCGACAAUCUAUUUACUUUAUUUUCUGUACCCCGACACCUAUCACAGUCUUUCCUAACAUCGUUCUCCCCAGCAGGCUUCACUUACAAAACAGCCACCCUAGUAUAGUGCAUUAUUCUCUUAGAAAAAAUAAUAAAUAAAAUGAAAUAAAAUAGACAGUUACUGCAACUGUGUGUAUAUGUCGAAGGACUGUUACAAAUUUCGAUAAUGUC